GACGAACGCUGGCGGCGUGCUUAACACAUGCAAGUCGAACGGAGUGCCCAUGAAAGAGAUUUCGGUCAAUGGAUUGGGUAACUUAGUGGCGGACUGGUGAGUAACGCGUGAGGAACCUGCCUUCCAGAGGGGGACAACAGUUGGAAACGACUGCUAAUACCGCAUGACACAUCGAAGUCGCAUGGCUUUGAUGAUGUCAAAGAUUUUAUCGCUGGAAGAUGGCCUCGCGUCUGAUUAGCUAGUAGGCGGGGUAACGGCCCACCUAGGCGACGAUCAGUAGCCGGACUGAGAGGUUGACCGGCCACAUUGGGACUGAGAUACGGCCCAGACUCCUACGGGAGGCAGCAGUGGGGAAUAUUGGGCAAUGGGCGCAAGCCUGACCCAGCAACGCCGCGUGAAGGAAGAAGGCUUUCGGGUUGUAAACUUCUUUUAAGAGGGAAGAGUAGAAGACGGUACCUCUUGAAUAAGCCACGGCUAACUACGUGCCAGCAGCCGCGGUAAUACGUAGGUGGCAAGCGUUGUC
rnacentral:rRNA from 1 species